UACGGAGGGUGCAAGCAUUGAUCGGAAUUACUGGGCGUAAAGGGCGCGUAGGCGGUUAGAUAAGUCAGAUGUGAAAUUCCGGGGCUCAACCCCGGAGCUGCAUUUGAAACUGUAAGACUAGAGUUCAGUUAGGGUAAACGGAAUUCCACGUGUAGCGGUGAAAUGCGUAGAUAUGUGGAAGAACACCGGUGGUGAAGACGGUUUACUGGGCUGAAACUGACGCUGAGGCGCGAAAGCAUGGGGAGCAAACAGG
rnacentral:rRNA from 1 species